UUUGGUAAGAGUUUCAGGAGACCACAGUGACAGAAAUAAUGACUGGUGUGCCACAACUUUUGAGUACUGCAGAAUGGCAUCUGUUUCUUGCUACUAUGAGCAAAAUUGUGAAUCUGGCUGCCCUGAAAGAGCAAUGAGAAGCCUGUCUUAUUGCAUUUGAUACCAUCUUAGAGCCACAGCAAACUACAGUAAGAAGAGAGGGCUGAACAGCCGCAGCAAGAGGCUGCAUUACUAGUGCUCAGAAAAUACCUCAAGGCAGAAAUAUCCAACUGUGUAACAGACAUUGGUUCUCUGUCUUCAUCGAAGAGCUUGGACCACAGACCAGGAAAUGGCACACAUUCUUUCUCUUCUCAGUGGUAUUAAGUCUGAGUACCCAGACCUGCCACUGUCUGCUGGAGGAAGGACCUUGCAGACCAGGGAGUUUCUACCACUCUGACUCUGCUCACACUGUUUGUAUGACAUGUAUGGGUGAUCCAAGAACUAUAAAACCUGCUGAACUGAUUGUCUGCAAAUGCUUACCACCUUCAUCAAAAUACUUCAAGAGGGAUACUGGUAAAUUCUCCAGUGCAGAAACAGCUGCAGUUGCAAAAACUUAUUUUGUAUUGGACACCAGAGAAUCAACAGUUAAGUUGUGGAAAAGAAGGAAAAAACGUUUUCUAAAAGUUAAGGACUUUUCAAAACUGACAUAUACACCAUAUUAAAAAUCGAAC
rnacentral:lncRNA from 1 species